AACAUUGUGAUGUCUUCUUAUCC
rnacentral:siRNA from 1 species